ensembl:snRNA U2 U2 spliceosomal RNA
AUCACUUCUUGGUCUUUUGGCUAAGUGCAACUGCAGUAUCUGUUCUUGUCAGUUUAAUAUGUGAUAUAUCCCUUAUCUGAGACAACAUAUUAAAUGGACUUUUGGAACUAGGAGAUGGACUAGAAAGUUGCUCCACCUGCUCCAUGCCUCCACACAUUGACUUGAUAUUGCAGUACUUCCAAAAAAAAAAAAAGAAAA